CAAGAAGAGAGAGAAAUAUAUUAAUUCCUAUAAAAAUGACAUGGUCCCAGCAGAUUUGUCCUAAAUAAAAAUAUAAUAAAUUGAGGGCUCCACAUUCUCUUUAUUGCUCGUUCAUUCCAAAGACAAAAGGAAAUGACUUUUCUUCUUCAGCCAAGAUUCCAUCUUCUUCCUUCUUAACUAAAAACAAUGGAAAUUCUGUUCCAACUAAUUUUUUCCAAAAUUAAAACUACAUGUCCAAAUCAUAGUAAAUUAAACAUGCAAAUUAUUUGAAGAUUGGUGUUCGAUUUUGGUUGUCAUUCUUGCCGAUAUUAAAAGAAAAAGUUGACAUUUGAUGCUAAAAAAGAAUCAAAAAUUAGUUCCAGAUAUUGAUUUUUUAAAAUCUAAAUCAAGCUCAAUUACUUGGAUUUUCUCCCGCCACUUCCAUUUACUAAUGAUUUCCGGGAUCUUCCAAAAAAGUUAUGAAGGUCAUGCAUGACAAUAAUGAAUGACAUACAAAAGUGCUCCACAUCAGUGAGCAUUAAAUGAUUUUGCACAAAAAUAAGCAACAUUUUGCUUCCAAGUUGUGUAUAAAAUAUUUUAUCUUGAUGGUAUAUAUGUACCAAAAUAAGAUUCAGCUCUUCAUUUUCUUAUUUAAAAAUUUGGCAACAGAAAGUGACUGUAGAUUGAAGAGAAACAAAGAGAAGAAACAAGUUCAUAGAUUUAUACAUUUAGAAGAGAGUUUCGUGUAACUUUACUUGACUUUUGGAUAUCUCUUUGAGAGUGCACUGAUCAACAAUGGUGUAUUUUUCUUUGGGUGAAAUUUACUUUACUUGAUUCAGCUGUAAUCUACAAAGAUCCCAAAUAAAAGGAGGGAAAAUAGUAUCUUGUUCCCUCCAUUUCUGUUGUACGUAU